UACGUAGGGUGCGAGCGUUAAUCGGAAUUACUGGGCGUAAAGCGUGCGUAGGCGGUUCGUUAAGUCGGAUGUGAAAGCCCUCGGCUCAACUGAGGAAGUGCACCCGAAACUGGCGAGCUUGAGUACGAAAGAGGAUCGCGGAAUUCCCGGUGUAGAGGUGAAAUUCGUAGAUAUCGGGAGGAACACCGGUGGCGAAGGCGGCGAUCUGGGUCGAUACUGACGCUGAGGUGCGAAAGCGUGGGGAGCAAACAGG
rnacentral:rRNA from 1 species